rnacentral:rRNA from 1 species
CAGUAGCCACGGUAAUACGUAGGUGGCAAGCGUUGUCCGGAAUUAUUGGGCGUAAAGGGCUCGCAGGCGGUUUCUUAAGUCUGAUGUGAAAGCCCCCGGCUCAACCGGGGAGGGUCAUUGGAAACUGGAAAACUUGAGUGCAGAAGAGGAGAGUGGAAUUCCACGUGUAGCGGUGAAAUGCGUAGAGAUGUGGAGGAACACCAGUGGCGAAGGCGACUCUCUGGUCUGUAACUGACGCUGAGGAGCGAAAGCGUGGGGAGCGAACAGGAUUAGAGACCCCUGUAGUCCCUGUCUCUUAUAC